GUCGUCCCGACCCCCGGGCUCCCGGGUGGGAAGGAGCAGCUGGGCUGCGCGGAGCAGGCCCCCGUGAGCCCCGGGAAGGAGCGCAGCGCAGGGCUCUCCCACCUGUCACCCUGGCCCUUCUCUGCUUGGAUGGUGUCUUCCUCUCCUCAGCCGAGAAUGACUUCGUCCACCGGAUCCAGGAGGAACUGGACCGCUUUCUGCUGCAGAAGCAGCUGUCAAAGGUUCUUCUUUUCCCCCCACUCUCCAGUCGCCUCCGGUACCUGAUCCAUAGAACAGCAGAGAAUUUUGAUCUCUUGAGCAGCUUCUCCGUUGGGGAGGGCUGGAAGAGGAGGACGGUCAUCUGUCACCAGGACAUCAGGGUACCCAGUUCGGAUGGCCUCUCUGGCCCCUGCCGCGCUCCUGCCUCCUGCCCCAGCAGGUACCACGGUCCUCGGCCCAUCUCCAACCAAGGAGCAGCUGCGGUUCCCCGAGGUGCCCGGGCUGGCCGGUGGUAUCGUGGACGCAAGCCUGACCAGCCUUUGUAUGUGCCCCGGGUGCUGCGCAGGCAGGAAGAAUGGGGGCUGACCUCUACCUCGGUGCUCAAGAGAGAGGCCCCAGCUGGCAGGGACCCAGAAGAGCCUGGAGAUGUUGGUGCUGGAGACCCCAACUCUGAUCAGGGACUCCCUGUGCUGAUGACUCAGGGAACAGAGGACCUAAAGGGCCCAGGACAAAGGUGUGAGAAUGAGCCACUGCUGGACCCUGUUGGCCCUGAGCCUCUGGGGCCUGAGAGUCAGUCAGGGAA
rnacentral:lncRNA from 1 species